UGCCUGGCCGUGGUCCCUGAGCAACGCCUCUGGACCUGCUCCCCUUCCUCUCCGAUCCUUUCCGCCGCUUUGCCCCCUGGAAUGCUUCACCGAAGUCUGCUCAAGAUCUGGAGAAGGGAAACAGCCUACAAAUGAAUGUCUCCAUGCACGACACCUUUUGAAUGACAGUAAUGCACAGCGCUCCCAAUCUGCUGGAAAAUUCGAUGGGCCUCCUCCUCCUGCAGAUGUCCAUCCUCCUGGAUCUGGUCCAGCAGCCUUCCCCCGCUCGCAUGCUCCAUUACAAGAGAAGCCUGGCAUUGCUGAUGUUACUUUGUGUUUCCUUUUCUUGGAGUGGGCUGCUUCCAGAUACCAGCCAAAAGCUUAAGUAUGUGUUUCCUGUUGUCCUGGGCUUUUCCCCUUUCUCUAGAUGUUCCCUCCUGCUUCCUACAGCAGCUUGCUGAUUUCCAUGCUUGAUAAAAAAAAAAAGCAUGACUUUCUCUGUUCUCAGUCUCCCGCCUUCUGGUGGCUGCCGGGAUUUUCAGCUUGCCUGCCCUGUUGUUUUUCUCUCAAAAUCUAAUAAAAUGGUC